rnacentral:lncRNA from 1 species
UAAGAAUGAUAUCUCCAGUUUCGCUCUCAAACCCUCUCUCUCCUCUCUGAAAAUCUCUCCAUUUUCUCAUCUUUCAUUCCACAAUCAAAUUAAAACGUUAAACCCCUUUGUUCCUUUCGUUUACGGUUCAAUUCUUUAACCUGAAGCUCAACUGCCAUUUUUUUGUGACUUCUUCGGGAAAAUUCGUAGGAUUUUGAGGAAUAGAAAAUCUAGGUUUUAUUUGAAUUCGUAGAAUGGAGAUAACAACAAUGAAUAUUAAGGGAUGGGAUUGAUGAGGUUGAGAGAUUGGCAAGAGGAAAGAGUAUACUUCCUGACAGAUUACGGUACUUGACUGAAGAAGCAUCUGACCUCCCAUGAGGUGGCAUUGGUUUGUGGGUAAGUUUCUUUCACUCUCGGCAUAACAGAGUUAUUAUCUUUUUAAUUGUGCUCAAUUUGUGUACUUCCGCUUUAGUUUCUGAGAACAUCGACAAACUGGUAGGUAGUACAGUGAAAUUACAUUAGCUGUUAUAAUGCUUAUUUCAAAAGAGAGAGAAUUAGAAACACUUCAGUGACUGGGAAUAUGGAGAGAUUUUACUGAUUCCUUAACAUUAGUGGAUAUUUAAGGCUUUGGCCAAAAGAGAGAUGGAUCAAAAACAAAAUUAUGCUAACCAAAUGAUAGUAUGACAGGAAUUAUCUAGGUAUUUGCUUGUUUGUUAUUAAGAUAAAUCCAAUCUACUUGAUUAAAAGCAGCGACCUUAAUUUUGAGUUAUGGAGAGGUCGAGCUUGCAUGGAUUACGAGUGCUAGCUUUUUUUUCGAUUGAGCAUGUAAAGCCUAGUGAUUAUGUGUCGUUAUACUAGCGUGGGGAGACACGUAGGAGAAAAGAGAUGAAGGAGAAGAGAGUGAAGGUAGGUGUUUAUUCUUAUAUUCCUAUAAUCUUAAUUUUUUUUAUAAUUAUUUAUUUUUGUAACAAGUUUUAUUCAUUUUGUUAAUAUGCACCCAUAAUUAACUUUUAUAUUUAAGGGGGUUUUGGAAAUAAACCCUCCUAAAAACCCCUUAACUUAAAACUCAUCACUGCAGUUUUUCUCUUGAUCUCCUCUAAUGAGGGGUGAGGAGAUAGAAGAGGAGAGGAAGGCCUUAUAUAGAUGACUUUCAUAAUGAUUCAUUAACUUACGG